UUGGAGGGCAAGUCUGGUGCCAGCAGCCGCGGUAAUUCCAGCUCCAAUAGCGUAUAUUAAAGUUGUUGCAGUUAAAAAGCUCGUAGUUGAAUUUCGAGACCGGUUUAUGGGUCGUGCUUUUGUACGUACUGGUAUUAUUGGUUUCUCCUUUCUGACGAAUCUUAAUGCCAUUAAUUUGGUGUUUUGGGGAAUCAGGACUGCUACUUUGAAAAAAUUAGAGUGUUUAAAGCAGGCUCACGCUUGAAUACAUUAGCAUGGAAUAACGGAAUAGGACGUUUGAUUCUAUUUUGUUGGUUUCUAGGACCGACGUAAUGAUUAAUAGGGAUAGUUGGGGGCAUUAGUAUUCAAUUGUCAGAGGUGAAAUUCUUGGAUUUAUUGAAGACUAACUACUGCGAAAGCAUUUGCCAAGGAUGUUUUCAUUAAUCAAGAACGAAAGUUAGGGGAUCGAAGACGAUCAGAUACCGUCGUAGUCUUAGCCAUAAACUAUGCCGACUAGGGAUCGGAUGAUGUUAAUUUUUUAAUGACUCAUUCGGCGCCUUACGGGAAACCAAAGUGUUUGGGUUC
rnacentral:rRNA from 1 species